rnacentral:rRNA from 1 species
UUGAAGACAAAGUGGCGAACGGGUGCGUAACGCGUGGGAAUCUGCCAAACAGUUUGGGCCGAAUCCCAAAGAAACGAGAGCAAAAAAGCUUCGAUAAAGCUAAAAAGCGCUGUUUGAUGAGCCUGCGUAGUAUUAGGUUGCUGGUUGGGUAAAGGCUGACCAAGCCGCAGAUGCUUAGCUGAUCUUUUCGGACGAUCAGCCACACUGGGACUGAGACACGGCCCAGACUCCGUAGGGAGGCAGCAGUGGGGAAUAUUGGACAAUGGGCGAAAGCCCGAUCCAGCAAUAUCGCGUGAGUGAGUGAA